rnacentral:misc_RNA from 1 species
ACAAGGUUUCCGUAGGUGAACCUGCGGAAGGAUCAUUACCGAGUGUUUGGAUGCCCCCUUCUUGGGGGUGUCCGUCCUCCCAUCCGUGUCUAUUGUACCCUGUUGCUUCGGCGGGCCCGCCCUCUUGUGGCCGCCGGGGGGCUUCCCUUGCCCCCGGGCCCGCGCCCGCCGGAGACCUCAACCAUUGAACACUGUCUGAAGGUUGCAGUCUGAGUACCGAUAAACAAAUCGUUAAAACUUUCAACAACGGAUCUCUUGGUUCCGGCAUCGAUGAAGAACGCAG